CAGAGAGAGACCUGAUAAAGACUUACAAGAACACAGUUGAAGAGUUACAGGCCAAUUACACUGAUCGAAUGCAGAAGAAAGGUUGGUUUUUCAUGUCCAAUGAGGCGAAGAACUGGUCUGACAGCAGGCAGUACUGCAGGGAUCGUGGUGCUGAUCUGGUCAUUAUCAACACUGAAGAGAAGCAGAGACUCAUAUAUUCAUUAGUCAGUGAGAGAGUGUGGAUUGGUUUGUCUGACACAGAGAACGAGGA